GGAGGGUCAUUACAGAGUUGCAAAACUCCAACAAACCAUCGCGAAUCUUACCCGUACGGUUGCCUCGGCGCUGGCGGUCCGGAAGGCCCUCGGGCCCCCCGGAUCCUCGGGUCUCCCGCUCGCGGGAGGCUGCCCGCCGGAGUGCCGAAACCAAACUCUUGAUAUUUUAUGUCUCUCUGAGUAAACUUUUAAAUAAGUCAAAACUUUCAACAACGGAUCUCUUGGUUCUGGCAUCGAUGAAGAACGCAGCGAAAUGCGAUAAGUAAUGUGAAUUGCAGAAUUCAGUGAAUCAUCGAAUCUUUGAACGCACAUUGCGCUCGCCAGUAUUCUGGCGAGCAUGCCUGUUCGAGCGUCAUUUCAACCAUCAAGCUCUGCUUGCGUUGGGGAUCCGCGUCUGACGCGGUCCCUCAAAAACAGUGGCGGGCUCGCUAGUCACACCGAGCGUAGUAACUCUACAUCGCUAUGGUCGUGCGGCGGGUUCUUGCCGUAAAACCCCCAAUUUCUAAGGUUGACCUCGGAUCAGGUAGGAAUACCCGCUGAACUUAAGCAUAUCAAAGGCCGGGGAGGAAA
rnacentral:rRNA from 1 species